rnacentral:lncRNA from 1 species
UGAUGGGUAGAGUCAGGGGCGGAUCCAGGUACUGGCGAGCUAGGGCGGCUGCCCUAGCUGGAUCCUCCGGAAUGUUCACUACCGCCGGGCACCAGAACCAGAAGUCGCAGUUGCAGAGAAAGAAGCCGAGGAAGAUGAAUGAAUUCCAUCUGGGUUACGUUUUUUUUUUUUCCCUCCAGUUUGGGCCCUUUUAUUUGGGCUGACUAGUGAUUGAUGGGCCUCCUUAUUUAUAAACAUUAGGUCCAAAUCCAAUCCAUAUAUUUUGAUCAAAGUGGAGUUGCUGCUGCUGAGUGUUGACACCUGACGGGCGGCGAGAGGUGUUGGGCGACGAGACGACUCGCCGUCGACCUUCCAAUCUCCGGUCUUAGAGUCUCAGAGUGUGAAUCUGUGAUCCCCUUUUCUUUCUCUCUCUCCCUCUCUGUUUUUUUUUUUUCAUUAAAUUUUUGUUUUUGGUUUUUGUCCUAUGUUUUGUCAAUGAUAUAGCAGAGUAAAUUUCGUUUCAGGGGUUUGAAGAUGACUGUCGAGUGUUGAUUACUGGGGAGCCUUCUUAAUGAUGCAUUUCAAAGAGAAGUUGGGAACCAAUUCAUGGAGAAAGUUUAAAGGACUCUGGACUAGAGUCCUCACUCCUCGCUCAGGUUCCUUCAGAUUUUUUUUUUCAACGCUGACUCUUAAAGAUUUUUCUGUUUUUCAUUUGUUCUUCCUGCUUUCCUAAAUUAUGGGCUCUACUAGGUUGUUGUUGUUGUUGUUGUUAUUAUUUAUUUAUUUAUUUAUUUAUUUUGCAGAAUUUUCGCAUAUCUGUUUUAAUAUGCAUUUGGUCUAUUAAAUUUCAGAGUGCGUUUUGUUGCAUCAUUGUUCCCCCUUUUUUUCCCCUUUUCCAAGAGAAUGUUGUAUGUACGUGGAUAAUGUUAUCAAUCUUGUAUGUUCUAUUUGUUAUGAUUGUGAUUUAUGAUAAGUAAUUUAUGUUUUGGGGCCGUUCCUUAGACACGUGAAUUUGACAAACGUUUUUGACAAAUAAUCCGGGGCCUUUAAUUAAAUCGAUCCAACGCUCACAAUUUAUCUAUCAAAACAAUAAAAAAUUCAUAAAUCUUACAUCCAAUCACCCCCAAUUAACUUAUAUUAAUCCCUAAAAUCUCUCAACUAAACCCUGAUUUUCCAUCCUCAUCUCAUUCCAUACUCCAUCACCAUCCAAAUUCAUCAUCUCUCUCACAGAAGACUGAAUCUCUCUUGAAUCCGACUGCAGCCUCCUAAUAGUAG